CAGCCGCCGCGGGAAAACGUAGGUGGCAAGCGUUGUCCGGAAUUAUUGGGCGUAAAGGGCUCGCAGGCGGUUUCUUAAGUCUGAUGUGAAAGCCCCCGGCUCAACCGGGGAGGGUCAUUGGAAACUGGGAAACUUGAGUGCAGAAGAGGAGAGUGGAAUUCCACGUGUAGCGGUGAAAUGCGUAGAGAUGUGGAGGAACACCAGUGGCGAAGGCGACUCUCUGGUCUGUAACUGACGCUGAGGAGCGAAAGCGUGGGGAGCGAACAGGAUUAGAGACCCCAGUAGUCCCUGUCUCUUAUAA
rnacentral:rRNA from 1 species